CGAGUGCCGUCCGCUGAGGGCGGCUUUUGCCUGGUUUAACCAGCCGAGUGAAUAAGGGGAGGGCAAGUCUGGUGUCAGCCGCCGCGGUAAUACCAGCUCUCCGAGUGGUGUGGAGGAUUAUUGGGCCUAAAGCAUCCGUAGCUGGCUGGGCAAGUCCCCUGUUAAAUCCAGCGAUUCAAUCGUUGGCGUGCGGGGGAUACUGUUCGGCUAGGGGGCGAGAGAGGCCGUCGGUAUUCUCGGGGUAGGGGUGAAAUCCUAUAAUCCCAGGAGGACCACCAGUGGCGAAGGCUGUCGGCUAGAACGCGCUCGACGGUGAGGGAUGAAAGCUGGGGGAGCGAACCGGAUUAGAUACCCGGGUAGUCCCAGCUGUAAACGAUGCAGGCUAGGUGUUAGGGCGGCUACGUGCCGCUCUGGUGCCGCAGGGAAGCUGUUAAGCCUGCCGCCUGGGGAGUACGGCCGCAAGGCUGAAACUUAAAGGAAUUGGCGGGGGAGCACCACAAGGGGUGAAGCUUGCGGUUUAAUUGGAGUCAACGCCGGAAAUCUUACCGGGGGCGACAGCAGGAUGAAAGCCAGAUUAAAGGUCUUGCCAGACGAGCUGAGAGGAGGUGCAUGGCCGUCGCCAGUUCGUGCCGUGAGGUGUCCUGUUAAGUCAGGCAACGAUCGAGACCCGCAUUCCCCGUUGCUACCAGCCUUGAGCUGGGCACACUGGGAACACCGCCGUCGAUAAGACGGAGGAAGGAGCGGGCCACGGCAGGUCAGUAUGCCCCGAAUCUCCCGGGCCACACGCGAGCUGCAAUGGCAGGUACAAUGGGUUCCGACCUCGAAAGGGGAAGGCAAUCUCGAAAGCCUGCCGUAGUUGGGAUCGAGGGUUGAAACCCACCCUCGUGAACAUGGAAUCCCUAGUAAUCGCGUGUCACUAGCGCGCGGUGAAUACGUCCCUGCUCCUUGCACACACCGCCCGUCAAACCACCCGAGUGAGGUCUUGAUGAGGCCGUCGUUUUUGCGGCGGUCGAAUCUAGGUUUUGCAAGGGGGGUUAAGUCGUAACAAGGUAGCCGUAGGGGAAUCUGCGGCUG
rnacentral:rRNA from 1 species